UGAGGAACAUGACCUUCGGCGGGGGAGUAGCCGGCCCAACGGCCGGGUAAUACCGCGUACGACCACUCGGGGACAUCCCUAGGUGGUGAAAGCAGCAAUGCGCCGAUGGAGUGCCUCGCGGCCUAUCAGCUAGUUGGUGAGGUAACGGCUCACCAAGGCGACGACGGGUAGCUGGUCUGAGAGGAUGGCCAGCCACAUUGGGACUGAGACACGGCCCAGACCUCCGUACGGGGAGCAG
rnacentral:rRNA from 1 species